CCUACGGGAGGCAGCAGUGGGGAAUAUUGGGCAAUGGACGAAAGUCUGACCCAGCGACGCCGCGUGAGGGAUGAAGGCCUUCGGGUUGUAAACCUCUUUCAGUAGGGAAGAAGCGAAAGUGACGGUACCUAAAGAAGAAGCACCGGCUAACUAUGUGCCAGCAGCCGCGGUAAUACAUAGGGUGCAAGCGUUGUCCGGAAUUAUUGGGCGUAAAGAGUUCGUAGGUGGUUUGUUGCGUCGGGUGUGAAAUUCAGGGGCUCAACCCCUGACCUGCACUCGAUACGGGCAAGCUAGAGUUUGGUAGGGGAGACUGGAAUUCCUGGUGUAGCGGUGGAAUGCGCAGAUAUCAGGAGGAACACCAAUGGCGAAGGCAGGUCUCUGGGCCAAUACUGACACUGAGGAGCGAAAGCGCGGGGAGCGAACAGGAUUAGAUACCCUGGUAGUCCGCGCCGUAAACGAGNGGCGCUAGUGGUCGGUACCGUACCGUACGUUCGUCGCGACGCGCGACGUACGACUAUACGCCGCCCGCCGGUCGGGUACGGUACGUACGCGCGAAGUAAACGUUAAACGUAACGAAGUAGUAAGUUAAGGUACGGUCGUUGAGUACGUUCGCCGACGGACGACCGACGGAGGGAGGUUAGG
rnacentral:rRNA from 1 species